rnacentral:snRNA from 19 species
CAACUUACCUGGCUGGCGUUGGGCGAGGCUCAAGCAGCUCGCUCUCGUGGGGCGGAGCAGCUCACUGCACGACUUCAGAGGACUGUAAAGCUCCAGGGCCUACCAAGUGUGGGUUCCACAGCGAAAUUUCUGGUAGCGGUGGCGUAGCGCAAACGAAGAGAUAGCGCUGCCACCAA